CAGCCGCCGCGGGAAUACGUAGGUGGCAAGCGUUGUCCGGAAUUAUUGGGCGUAAAGCGCGCGCAGGUGGUUUAAUAAGUCUGAUGUGAAAGCCCACGGCUCAACCGUGGAGGGUCAUUGGAAACUGUUAAACUUGAGUGCAGGAGAGAAAAGUGGAAUUCCUAGUGUAGCGGUGAAAUGCGUAGAGAUUAGGAGGAACACCAGUGGCGAAGGCGGCCUUUUGGCCUGUAACUGACACUGAGGCGCGAAAGCGUGGGGAGCAAACAGGAUUAGAUACCCCCGUAGUCCCUGUCUCUUAUAA
rnacentral:rRNA from 1 species